rnacentral:lncRNA from 1 species
UAUGGGGAUUGAGUGCUUCACGGCUCGCAGGGAGGGGCCGUUUGCUCUGACCCUCACCCCACAGUAACGCUGGACACUGCAGAGGGAUGCCCCCGAUUUAGGUCACUGCCAGUGAAACUGUACACCUCAGACCUCCAAGAACUGGAACAGUUACACUAGUCCAAAAGCCUGACAUUUCAAAUUUAUAUGAACAUGAAGUUGAGGAGGAAUGAAGCACAGGAGAUAGAGCAGACUCAGAGGAGCUUUCAGUGAAAGAAAGGAGGGGCUGCUUCUUCUAGAGACCCACGUUUUUCUCUCUCUCUUUUCUUUUGGUAAGAAAUUAACCAGUGUUUAGUCAGUGGCAGUUCCACUGUGGAAAUGGAUGCUGUGGGUGCGAAACAGCGUGUUUUGCUUUCUUCCUUUG